ensembl:snoRNA SNORA23 small nucleolar RNA, H/ACA box 23
GCUGUAAUGUGUGCAUAGGUUUUAAUCUGUGUCUGGUAGCAGUGUCUGUGUGCGUUUUGCACUCAGAUCUUGCUAUUCACACAUACCGAGCGGCCACAGAGUAACAUGGGAUCAUAGUACUGGUCUAGUGUUGUCUCUUUGGACAUAACUACCACUGGCCAGCCUCCAAAAUCCCAAACAUAG